GCUUGUCUCAAAGAUUAAGCCAUGCAUGUCUUAGUGUAAAUAACUCUUAUGAAACUGCGAAUGGCUCAUUAAAUCAGUUAUCGUUUAUUUGAUGGUCCCUUACUACAUGGAUAACCGUAGUAAUUCUAGAGCUAAUACAUGCACAAAGGCCCGACUCACGAAGGGCUGUAUUUAUUAGAUACAAACCAACAUCGUGGUGAUUCAUAAUAACUUUGCGAAUCGUAUGCCUCACGGCGACGAUGAAUCAUUCAAAUUUCUGCCCUAUCAAUUGGCGAUGGUAGGAUAGAGGCCUACCAUGGUGUUAACGGGUGACGGGGGAUUAGGGUUCGAUUCCGGAGAGGCAGCCUGAGAAACGGCUACCACAUCCAAGGAAGGCAGCAGG
rnacentral:rRNA from 1 species